rnacentral:lncRNA from 1 species
UUGCCUUUGUCUAUGGAUAUGUAUUUACCUUAAUUAGUCCAAAGUUGAGCUACACGUAUACAAUUUGUUAAAAAUCACCAGUUACGUGCAACUACACGUAUACCACUAAGAAUAAUGUGUUAAAUAAGUCACCUGCAAGUAUAAUCACACAACACACACAUAGACUAUCACCUCCAUGAGGCUAUGCCCAAUCAAUUUAUUUUACCAUUAUGUAUUUUCUUUUAUGAGGCUAUGAUCAACCCCUAAAGUACAUUAUAUCAUAAAGUCAUAUGUUUAUUUCCUAAGUUUAUGCUUUAUACCUCAAGGGCCCAAUACUUUUGUCCCAUACUUCAUACGAACUACCUUAUAUCAAGAAUAGCAAAUCUAUCUAUAUAUUUCACUUAGUAUGCUACGGUUCCCACCGGGCUCUCUUUCUCGCUUAGUAUGCUUCGGUUUUGGAAAAUAAGAGUAUUAGUGAAGCUAAGUUAUCUAUUGGAUGGCCAGAUCUAUCCCAAAGUUUUGGAAAGUAAGAGUACUUAGUUUUUCCAAUCUUUUCCCUUUUUCCUACUAUUUCAGUGUUGUCAUUUACCUCAGAAAACAUCUUCAAAUCCAUAAUUAGUUCUACACUUAAUUUCUCACAAAAAGCAUUUAAACCAUUUUAAGCAUCAUUCAAUAAAUUCAUCAACCAAAAGAAAAGAAAUGAAACCCCCAAGAAGAGCUAAAAUCAUGGGUUCGAAUGGCAUCUACAACAUUUUUUUUUGAAAUCUUAAUAACCACAACAUAAAACAAAGAUUGCUACUGAUUGCAAAAUAACCCAAUAUCAUAAUUUUUGUCAAAACACUUGCUUAGUAUACAUAUAAUCUGCAUACUCUGUUUUCUGUUAAUGUUUUAAGAGUGAACAAAUUGACUUCACAAAUCAUGUCCCAUUUUAAGAGAGAUGAAAACAUUCAACAUACCCAGUUUCAGUUGAGUUCUGCAGAAUACAAACAGAGUAUUGACAAUCUUGGUUGGCAAGUAUGGGUAAAGAAGAAUUCAAGCACAAAUGUCGGAAUUAAGAAGACUCAUUAAGAAGAAUUCAAGCAUAAAUCUCUACAAUUUCAUUCGGAGAAAUUCGCCAAGCUUGGUAACAACAAAAAGUUUCACCAACGAAACUGUUUCUCUACUUGACCAAGCUUGGUCUAUAGUGUUCGACAGUAGUUCAAAUACUGACAGAAAUAUCCUUUUUCACCUUAUUUAAUGCCUUGGCAUAAAAAGUCAAUAAAAUCUUCUAUCAAAUAAGAAAUCCACCUAGAAUUACCUUUUAGAAUCUUAAGCAUAAAGACAUCUGAUAUGCAUAAAGCACUUUUGCACUCGGCUCAGAAUAGUGAAUCAACAUUCACAUUCAUAGUUUCUAGGACUCUAGAGAGUGAUGGCUGGUGUAGAAAUCCCCAGACUGUAGCUUAUAAGCUCAUAGAAAUCCUGGAACUUUAACUUAUAACUUCAUCGUGAGGUUGAGUCAGUUAUAACUUUAGCUUAUAACUUCAUCGUGAGGUUUUUUGGUUAGAGUUCCGAAGCAAAGCUGUUCUAAAUGGAACAUGAUUGCUCAUUGUGUUUGGUGAGUUUUACUGAGGGAGCGAAAUUGUCAAUAUAUUGAGGAGCAGGAGAGGUUCAGUUGUGCAUAUUGAAUUUUUACUUUUCAGUAUAGUUUUGUUUGGCAGAAUGAGAUUUAUCUUGGUUCAGUUGUUCAACCUUGAAAGCUGACCAUUGUUG